rnacentral:lncRNA from 1 species
CUCUUUUAUAAACAAGGCCUUACUGUAAUCUUUUUAACUCUCACCACAAGCCAGAUUUAUCUUUGGACAUCCUGCCCAGAAAUCAUUGCACUUCUCUGCAGUAGAAUAAACAUACAAGGGACCCAGCCAUACGGACACAUAUACAGAGGAGGAAAGAGAGAGACUUGGAAAUCAAGACAGCAGAAAAAUGUUACAUUACAAUGAUCCUGCACAGAGCAUACAAGUACUUCACCUCCUGCGUCUUCCCAUCAUUUACUUCUUAAACCACUCCAAAUGUAUACAGAAAAAAAGCUUUGAGAUAAAGCUGGCACAGGGAAGAAAUGCAACUUCCACAGCAGAGCUGUGGCAGUGUGACAAGCUGUUGGACCCCAUCCAGUGAGCUCAAGCAACUGAAAUUCAGGCCCAAAGCUGUUGAGCGGCAACUAUUUCGUCUGGACUGAGGUCUGCUGCAGUGACUCCAGGAGGCGGAGGUGAUACCCGUUCAUGCAGAGCCACAUGCGUUGCUGCAUGCGCCCACUCUGGGGGCCUCUCAACUUAGCCAGCUCCCCUGGAGUGACUUACUACGUUGCAAAGACACUGAGCAGCAGUUUGUCCUACCCGAACAGGACAAACCAUUACCUAGAACUGUUCCUUUUUAUUUUUAUUUUCAUGAGUAGAGUUCUGGGCAAAUGACCAGACAAACAAAACUAUGUGCAGGAGGAAUGACCAAUUAAAGUUUCUUUAUGUCAGGGUAAUGCUGAUAUCUCCUCUAUAUCAUUAGCAGAAGUAAGUCCACAGCUUUUCAAGAGGCUGAUGUUAGCUACUAUAAAAGCUUCUCAGGAAAUCCUGACAGAAUGAAUCUUAAUGCAGAAGCUGAUGUUGUGGAGCAGAAUUGAGAGUACUGCGAAUUGCAUUUUAUUGAUCUGAACAUCCAAAAUAUUUCAAAAUUGCAGCAGGUUCUAAAAUAAUCUUAUUUUCCUGACCUAUCAGGGAAGGUAAGUAGGAGUCUAUAGGCCAAAGGUAGUUCAGAUAUCUGACACUAUGAAGCUGCGGGUGUGCAGAGGGCUCAUAUACUCUUACGUAUUGGAGGAGUAUGUUGUUGAACAAGACUGAUUAGCAAGACAGGUGGAAAC